rnacentral:misc_RNA from 1 species
CGCACAUUGCGCUCUCUAGUAUUCUGGAGAGCAUGCCUGUUCGAGCGUCAUUUUAACCUUCAAGCACUGCUUGGCGAUGGGAGCCGCCGUGGCGGCCCCCCAAAAUCAGUGGCGGAGUUGGAUAGCACUCUGAGCGUAGUAACAUCAUCUCGCUUUUGAUGGCUUCCGGCCUCCCAGCCGUAAAACUUAUUUUAUACUGGUUUGACCUCGGAUCAGGUAGGAAUACCCGCUGAACUUAA